GUUAUAUCUAGCUCAGUCUGUAGAGCAUGAGACUCUUAAUCUCAGGGUUGUGGGUUUGAGCCCCACGUUGGGCA